GCACCCGUAGCUCAGCUGGAUAGAGUGACGAACUACGGAUUCGUAAGUCGCAGGUUCGAGUCCUGCCCGGGGAGCCA
rnacentral:tRNA from 1 species